rnacentral:rRNA from 1 species
GUGAGGAAUAUUGGUCAAUGGGCGAGAGCCUGAACCAGCCAAGUCGCGUGAAGGAAGAAGGAUCUAUGGUUCGUAAACUUCUUUUGCAGGGGAAUAAAGUGCAGGACGUGUCCUGUUUUGUAUGUACCCUGAGAAUAAGGAUCGGCUAACUCCGUGCCAGCAGCCGCGGUAAUACGGAGGAUCCGAGCGUUAUCCGGAUUUAUUGGGUUUAAAGGGUGCGUAGGUGGUUUGAUAAGUCAGCGGUGAAAGUUUGCAGCUUAACUGUAAAAAUGCCGUGGAAACUGUCGGACUUGAGUGUAAAUGAGGUAGGCGGAAUGCGUGGUGUAGCGGUGAAAUGCAUAGAUAUCACGCAGAACUCCGAUUGCGAAGGCAGCUUACUAAGCUACAACUGACACUGAAGCACGAAAGCGUGGGGAUCAAACAGGAUUAGAAACCCGUGUAGUCC